UACGGGGGGGGCAAGCGUUGUUCGGAAUUACUGGGCGUAAAGGGCUCGUAGGCGGCCAACUAAGUCCGACGUGAAAUCCCCAGGCUUAACCUGGGAACUGCGUCGGAUACUGGAUGGCUUGAAUUCGGGAGAGGGAUGCAGAAUUCCAGGUGUAGCGGUGAAAUGCGCAGAUAUCAGGAGGAACACCGGUGGCGAAGGCGGUUCUCUGGGCCUUACCUGACGCUGAGGAGCGAAAGCGUGGGGAGCAAACAGG
rnacentral:rRNA from 1 species